AUGUGCCCAGAUGGGAUUAGCUAGUAGGUGGGGUAACGGCUCACCUAGGCGACGAUCCCUAGCUGGUCUGAGAGGAUGACCAGCCACACUGGAACUGAGACACGGUCCAGACUCCUACGGGAGGCAGCAGUGGGGAAUAUUGCACAAUGGGCGCAAGCCUGAUGCAGCCAUGCCGCGUGUGUGAAGAAGGCCUUCGGGUUGUAAAGCACUUUCAGCGGGGAGGAAGGCGUUAAGGUUAAUAACCUCAUCGAUUGACGUUACCCGCAGAAGAAGCACCGGCUAACUCCGUGCCAGCAGCCGCGGUAAUACGGAGGGUGCAAGCGUUAAUCGGAAUUACUGGGCGUAAAGCGCACGCAGGCGGUCUGUCAAGUCGGAUGUGAAAUCCCCGGGCUCAACCUGGGAACUGCAUUCGAAACUGGCAGGCUAGAGUCUUGUAGAGGGGGGUAGAAUUC
rnacentral:rRNA from 1 species